rnacentral:rRNA from 1 species
AUGGCCUCUCUUGUCAUGCUAGCCUCUUGGACCAUCUGGAAUGAGCAAAAUGCUCGCGUCUUCUGUCAAAAAAGUGCACCGCUGUUGUUUCUCUUACAUAAUCUCAAGAAGGAUGUGGCGCUUUGGAUGGUUGCAGGAGCAAAAAAGUUGGGGUCAAUCAUGCCGCGAGAGUAG